GAAUUCGCCCUUAGAGUUUGAUCCUGGCUCAGGACGAACGCUGGCGGCACGCUUAACACAUGCAAGUCGAACGAGAGAAGAGAAGCUUGCUUUUCUGAUCUAGUGGCGGACGGGUGAGUAACACGUGAGCAAUCUGCCUUUCAGAGGGGGAUACCGAUUGGAAACGAUCGUUAAUACCGCAUAACAUAAUUGAACCGCAUGAUUUGAUUAUCAAAGAUUUAUCGCUGAAAGAUGAGCUCGCGUCUGAUUAGCUAGUUGGUAAGGUAACGGCUUACCAAGGCGACGAUCAGUAGCCGGACUGAGAGGUUGAUCGGCCACAUUGGGACUGAGACACGGCCCAGACUCCUACGGGAGGCAGCAGUGGGGAAUAUUGCACAAUGGAGGAAACUCUGAUGCAGCGAUGCCGCGUGAGGGAAGAAGGUUUUAGGAUUGUAAACCUCUGUCUUUGGGGACGAAAAAUGACGGUACCCAAGGAGGAAGCUCCGGCUAACUACGUGCCAGCAGCCGCGGUAAUACGUAGGGAGCGAGCGUUGUCCGGAAUUACUGGGUGUAAAGGGAGCGUAGGCGGGAUCGCAAGUCAGAUGUGAAAACUAUGGGCUUAACCCAUAAACUGCAUUUGAAACUGUGGUUCUUGAGUGAAGUAGAGGUAAGCGGAAUUCCUAGUGUAGCGGUGAAAUGCGUAGAUAUUAGGAGGAACAUCAGUGGCGAAGGCGGCUUACUGGGCUUUAACUGACGCUGAGGCUCGAAAGCGUGGGGAGCAAACAGGAUUAGAUACCCUGGUAGUCCACGCCGUAAACG
rnacentral:rRNA from 1 species